rnacentral:sRNA from 1 species
CGCUUCUGCCCUUCCUGGGCGUUUCCUCCCUAAUGAACUGCGGCGCCGUUUGGCGCCGCUUUUUUUUGGCCUUA